rnacentral:tRNA from 1 species
UCCCAGGUGGCCUACCAGUUGAGACUCAGCAUUGUCACUGCUGUGACUCAGGUUCGAUCCCUGACCCAGGAC